rnacentral:rRNA from 1 species
UACAGAGGUGGCAAGCGUUGUUCGGAAUUACUGGGCGUAAAGCGUGCGUAGGUGGUUCGUUAAGUCUGAUGUGAAAGCCCUGGGCUCAACCUGGGAAUGGCAUUGGAAACUGGCGACCUAGAGUGCGGUAGAGGGCAGUGGAAUUCCCGGUGUAGCAGUGAAAUGCGUAGAGAUCGGGAGGAACAUCUGUGGCGAAGGCGACUGCCUGGACCAGCACUGACACUGAGGCACGAAAGCGUGGGGAGCGAACAGG